rnacentral:rRNA from 1 species
UACGGAGGGUGCAAGCGUUAUCCGGAUUCACUGGGUUUAAAGCGUGCGCAGGCGGUUUUUUAAGCCAGAUGUGAAAGCCCCGGGCUCAACCUGGGAAUGGCAUUUGGGACUGCAAGGCUUGAGUGCGGCAGAGGAGACUGGAAUUCCUGGUGUAGCAGUGAAAUGCGUAGAUAUCAGGAGGAACACCGAUGGCGAAGGCAGGUCUCUGGGCUGACACUGACGCUCAUGCACGAAAGCGUGGGGAGCAAACAGG